UCCUUAAUGGUUAUCUGAUCUUGCUCGACUGGCCUCGCUGGUAUAUUCAGACCGAUAUGAUUGAUCGCCAAAAGGCAGUUCGUCUGCUGACUGGCAGAUUAACGGUGCAAUUCUAAAGCGACCGACGCUCGUGUCAGGUUCUUCCAGACGUGUUCCGUUUUACCGAAUAAUCGAUGCUUUUAAAGACAAGUCGGAGGAAAACGUAUUCCGACCUGAGCGGAACUCGAGGGAGUAAAUUAUUCUUAACGAGUCUCGCUCUCCGAGAUGUACGUUUGCACAGACGUUAUGACGAGUCAAGCUCCGUUUCUACGUCUGCAACAAGUUGCAACGGAACGUCGAAAAUGACACGGGAGAUGUAUCGAGCGAGUCGAACGAACGAAGGGUUCGAAUCGAUCGAGAUACCGCAGGAUUAAUUGAACGUGAAUCGUAAGAUUUAUGAAAGUUAAACGUUUGAAGCUCGAUCGCUUCUAAUCUUUGACUCCUCCACUGAACGUCAGAGACGUUGCAAUUAAUAAUGGCGAUGCGUUCGUUUUCACGUUUCAACGUACAAGUCUUAUUACUCAUCGUUUAUAUUCACUUCAGGAAAAUACUGAAUCGUUUUUGUCGUUCGGAGUGCUGUAGGUAUAAAGUGAGCUCGGAUGCUGCAGACGUGUUCUGUAACCCUGUUACAGCAACGUAAGCGAAGCUUGACGUUCGUAUUUUUGACGUUUGACGGAAAUUCGAACGGAAAGCAAAAUUCGUGGCGAACAAACUAGAAACGGAUUUACAUGUCUCGCAAAUAAAACACUGAUUGACUGGUCGUUCAGGCGCGGAUUGAUCAGCGUUAUUUAAUUAACUGUACUCGAAUCGUGGGAAUGGGACUUAACGCGACCUCCGGCCAUCGAACAAAAUCGAUUUCGGGCGCAAGGUUUUAUCGUUUCGCUUAAAAACUAUCUCCUCUAUCGGAUCGCGUUUACUUUUCUGAUUCGUGAUGACUCGUUUCCAUCAAAAACUCGAUUCGACCGUGACUCCUAAUAAUUUUGAUAUUUACUCGGGGUUCCGUUGGCAGAAGCCCAAGACAAUGGAAAAAGUCAAUAACGUUAAACCUCGGAACUACCUUAGCGUGUUCCUCGACCGCGGACCGAUGAAACGCGAGAGGGAAUGAACAAGUUACGCGAGGACAUCAGCAGCGAAAAAAAGUUCUAAUCGAAUCGGAAAGUAAUCAAAAUGCAGAUGAUCAAUUUUCGCACGAAAUUCUUCAAUCGCUGCACGGUGAAACGCGAGGGGGAAGAGAGCACGAGGAAAACCGUGCCGCGUCGUACAGACGUACGUGUAUAUCUGUACGUGAAUGAGAAAGAGAAAGGCGAAGAAGAGCCGAGGCGGAAGGUAGGGUGAAAGAGCGCAAAAGAAAGAAGACAGCGCGCGCGCGCUGCUCCCUCCUGAGAUGACAUCUCCCCGUGACCUUGGAACGGAGACUGACCUUGACCGUGUCAAGCCCCACCAGGUCGAUCCUAACGCGUCCCGGCCGCUCCCCUCCCUAACGGCCUCCCCGACCGGAGUCGCGUCGUAUUACGCGAAUGCGAUGUUGCUCCAUGUGUGCUGGUGCUGCUGGCUCCUGCUGCUGCGGCUGCGGGUAUCGUUGCUGCAUCGACCGGUCGCAGCACAGACUCUACCAGCCCUCCGCCUCGUCCUUCACCCCUCGGCUCGUUGGCAAACCCGUCGCAAAAUCCUCCGUCCCACCCCUCGAGCUACCGCCAGGCCGGAUCGUGUCCCACCACCCUUUCAGUUCCAGCUACAUAAACGUCUAUCCACGUUCGUGGUGAAAGUCGAGAGGAAUCGUUGUGUAAACGAUGAUCGCGAAUACCCUUCACAAAUAGGUGGGGUGUAUCACGAUUGUACAGAAGGCUUCUGCUAAAGUACGUUCGAACGUACGUUGGAAAUGUACAAUGCCAUUUUUCAUGGAAUGUAAAAUACAAGGUCGAUAAGAAGUAUCGAUAAGUGAACUAACGAGAUUCGUCGACGGGCGUGUACAGGGCGAAGAAAAUAUCGAUGACAAAUGUCGAAUAGAUCACGGUGACAACGGGAACCAAGCUCCAUUGUUACCGAGCAAAAGCCUUUCAAAUUAAUGUCAAACAUGCUCGACCUUUACGCCCCCGUUUUAGAAAAAUAAAAUAUCGAGCUAAUAAAAACUCUCCACUGCUUACGUACAUUAUCUUUACUCUAACUGUAUUUGCGAAAAUUUGACCCAACAACAGUGUCGGUUUACAUUGCGAACAAGGAUUGGCACUUCAAAGUCGACCACUACGUAUUGCCGUUUAUAUGAAAAACCAAGUAAACAGUUUUUUGUGUCGAUCGUGUAUCAAAUAGACCGCUCUUAUAGAGGACGAUACGGUGAACAAUUGAGCAGCAUAAUUUAGAACUUUCCGAACAAUUAUUCGACGUUCUUAUCAAUGAACGAACGUUAAAUUAGAAAGUUCACGUUUCUGUCAGUGACUCGGAACGAAGGUUUCACAUGUUUUCACGAAGGAAACACGUAUUUAAAUCAAACUGUCACACCAUGUGCUUCCCGGCAACGUCCGUAAGGAACGAACGUCCGCGGAACGUUCCAUUUUUAACUGUUAACAAUUCGCAAAUCUCGCGGCGUAUUCAUUCCGUACGCUGUUUAUAAAUAGACGUAAGCGUGAGCCACAUU